UUUCCACCAUCCCACUUCAGCUUGAAAAAGUAAGACUCAAAAUCGUCACCUACUCCACUGGCUCAAGCCCUGGGCGGCGGGGCGUCCAUGCGGCUCCAUCAUGUCGCAGGAGUCCUUUAAGAUCACACUCACCUGGGACCCGCCGCUGCCCUACAAAGUCCUGCAGGGAGAUGCCCUGUGCAUGCUGACCCCUGAGGGCCACCCGGGCCUGGAGGGAAGGUGGGCCCACUACGAGCUCCUCUGGGAAUAGAUUCCACUCAGUGUUCCUGAAAGUACACCUUUUACAGCAGUCUUAAAGUUUGCAGCAGAAGGACUGAAAGUUCCUGCAGCCACAAGUGCAAUUAUUACCAAUGAUGGACUAGGAAUAAAUCCUGCUCAGGCUGCUGGGAAUGUUUUUCUAAAGCAUGGUUCAGAACUACGAAUUAUUCCUAGAGAUGGUGAUGGAAGUCAUUAAUACAUGCAACUUGGAGCACAGUUACCAACCAGAAUAAAUAUUGAUGUUUGUUGUUGCUGUAAAAUUGAAAUCAGGUACUUAAGAUUCUAUGAAAAUGCCAAGAAUCAAAGAA